GGAGUAAAUCAGACAAUCGCGUUAAAACGAGGAAAGUCCGUGCACCAAAGAGCAAGGAUGCUAAAUAACAUUUAGUGAAGGUGACUUUAAGGAUAGUGCAACAGAAAUAUACCGCCAAUUUAUUGGUAAGGGUGGAAAGGCGAGGUAAGAGCUCACCGGAGAAUUAGCGAUAAUUCUGCCAUGUAAACCCCAUCCGGUGCAAGAGCGAAUAGGACAAUAGGAUGGCUGCUCGUCACAGUCCGGUUGGUAGCUCGCUUGAGCAUAUAGGUGACUAUAUGCCUAGAUAGAUGAUUGUUUAAUACAAAACACGGCUUAUAGAUUUGCUCCUUAU
rnacentral:RNase_P_RNA from 1 species